rnacentral:rRNA from 1 species
AUUGAACGCUGGCGGAAUGCUUUACACAUGCAAGUCGAACGGUAGAGGGGGCAACCCCUUGAGAGUGGCGAACGGGUGAGUAAUAUAUCGGAACGUGCCCAGUCGUGGGGGAUAACGUAGUGAAAAUUACGCUAAUACCGCAUACGAUCUAAGGAUGAAAGCGGGGGAUCGCAAGACCUCGCGCGACUGGAGCGGCCGAUAUCAGAUUAGGUAGUUGGUAGGGUAAAGGCUUACCAAGCCAACGAUCUGUAGCUGGUCUGAGAGGACGACCAGCCACACUGGAACUGAGACACGGUCCAGACUCCUACGGGAGGCAGCAGUGGGGAAUUUUGGACAAUGGGCGAAAGCCUGAUCCAGCCAUUCCGCGUGCAGGAUGAAGGCCCUCGGGUUGUAAACUGCUUUUGUACAGAACGAAAAGGUUUCUAUUAAUACUAGGGGCUCAUGACGGUACUGUAAGAAUAAGCACCGGCUAACUACGUGCCAGCAGCCGCGGUAAUACGUAGGGUGCAAGCGUUAAUCGGAAUUACUGGGCGUAAAGCGUGCGCAGGCGGUUAUAUAAGUCAGAUGUGAAAUCCCCGGGCUCAACCUGGGAACUGCAUUUGAGACUGUAUAGCUAGAGUACGGUAGAGGGGGAUGGAAUUCCGCGUGUAGCAGUGAAAUGCGUAGAUAUGCGGAGGAACACCGAUGGCGAAGGCA